rnacentral:rRNA from 1 species
UAAUGUCUCUUUUUUGUAAUAAAAAUCAUGCUGUCUGUGUGAAGAAGCACAGGUUGUUAAAAAAGACAAGAAGACCCUUUUAAGCUUUAUUUAGAAUUCUUAGGCUUUUUCUUUCAAGAAUUUGGCUAAGGUCUAUAAAUUUGGUUGGGGUGACUGAAGAAGAUAAAAUCUUCUUUUGUUUAUUAGUACUUUAGGUUAAAAAAUGACCCAAGAUUUCUUGGUUGUAAGAAUUAGUUACUAAAGGGAUAACAGCGUAAUCUUUUCAAAGAGUUCUUAUUGAAGAAAAGGAUUGCGACCUCGAUGUUGACUUGCCUUUUUCCUGUUAUGGUGUAGAAGCUGUAAGGGUUGGUCUGUUCGACCAUUAAAAUAGU